UUUGGAGCAUCUUAAGGCUUCUGCAAGCGUGUAUGGCGUCUGGCUUUUGGAACCUCGCUGUGACUUCAGAUAAGAACAAAGAUUAAAUUGUAAGAAGGGUUGCUUAUAUGAGAGCAUACA